rnacentral:lncRNA from 1 species
AUGUCUCUCUCUAGUCUUCUUCAUUUUGUUGCUGAUUCUACUUGCUCUGCUAGAUCUAGCUCUUCUUUCACUGUUCAUGACAGAGAUACCAGGAAAGAAAGAAGCCCCAGGACCAAAGGAAAUUCCAAGAUGAGACUCUUAAACCCCAGCUCUUUUUUAUUGCUAACCCUACUCUUGGACAUUUUGAGUUCUCCCUUCCUUCUUCUCAUGUCUCCAUUUAUAUCUACUUCUUUUGAGAUGUCCUUUUUGAUGUUGCUGUUACCUUUAAAAAAAAAACAUAUCUUUAGAUCAGUAAUAUUAUGCUUUGGCCUGUUUUUAUUACAGUUUUGAGCCACUUAUUAAGUUUUUGAAGUUUUAAACUUCCAUUUCUCUUCGCCUCUCCACUUGAGAGGGACACAUAGCUGACAUUAUAUUUCAGUCCCCUCUUUCCUCAGAAGCUCUAGGCUAAUGAGAGAAGGAAAGUAUCAGGUUCAGUUAUUGAGGGGAAACAAAGUGCCAAGCUAAGUAGAGAAAAUGUGAAGAGAUGCUCCACAGGCCAAUGAGAAUUAGACAAGAAAUACACAGAUGUGCCAGUUUGCUGAGAAGUGUGAGCCAGCAACAUGUUACUUAUUUGAGCUUGGGUGAGCAGGACACCUGAGGUUUGGGAUUCUUAUUGAUGGUUAUGAAGGAGGAUUGGGCCUAACACAUAAUGAGGCCCCAAGGAAGGAGUGUGAACUCCCUGCUCAUAGUAGUGGCCUAAUAAUGUGGUAAGCUGCAUAAGUUUUAUGCCUCGGUUUAAUACCCACCUCUAGGCCUAAAGGUGAGAAAAUUUGGGAAUAUUUAGCAGGUUUAAUCCUUUCAUUGAUUUUUUUCCUUUUACCAUAAGGAAAGUUAAUUUUAGUGAUAAUAUAUAUGAAAGCACUGUAAAACACAAAAAAAGCAAGACAUUCUCAUUAAUAAUGUAUUGGCACUCAUGCAUAGCUAACAUUUGAAAAUGCAUUGUCAGUUGUGAAGCAUUAUGUAAAUCAAGGGUUAUCACACCCUUUUUGUAAAGGGUCAGAUGGCAAUUAUUUUAUACUUUGCAGGCCAUAUGGUCUCUCUCUGCUUUUUUUUCGUUUAAAGUGAAUAUGGUCUGUGGGCCACAGUUUAUCACCCCUGAUGUAAUUUGCCAGGGACUGUGUGCUGAAUGAUAUUAAUUUCUUUCUUUGUGCCUGUCCCUGUAUGCAUUAAGGAUGCAAUGAUUACUUAUGGUCAUAUCCAGGUGAUAUGAAGAAAAAUAUAUGAAUGUGAGUUAUAAACUAUUAUGCACUUUAAAAGCUUGUCGCAACUUUCAGAGUUGAUGAAUGAAUAUUACAUGGUAUAUACAUUUCUAGGCACUGUAUAUACAAAGAACAAAAGCGUGAAUAAAGUACUUUCUCAAAAGUAUGAAAUACUGUACAGAUAUUAGGAAUUAAGUCUAUGAUAAAUGAGUAAUUCAUGUAUUUGUGGCCAUUGUGUUUCUGUGGCUCUGAUGAUUUUGAGUAAAGAUGUAGUAUUCCAAGUCACAGAAAAGAAAACAUUGUUCAGUUGCUAAGUCGUGUCUGAUGCUUUGUGACCCCAUGAAUUGCAGCAUGCCAGGCUUCCAAAUCCUUAAACUAUAAAGUAUACUGCAAACACAAGGGAUUUAAGCUAUUGUGAUUACUUAUAAUGUGCCAGAUAACAUCCUGGGCACUAUAGAUGUCAAAGGAAAAAAAAUGUUGUUAUUAUAGAAUGAUUAAAAAUUUUAGAUUUUAAAGUGCUUUGUACUAAAGCACUGUAUAAAUACCAAUGGGCUAUAUGUUUAUGAAUGAAUGAAUAAGUAUUAAUUUCC